UAAAAAACAAAGAAGAAGAAGAAGAAGAAAAAGAAGAGAAAGAAAAAGAGAGAGAAAAAAAGAAAAUGAUUCUUAAAAAUUAUACAUAAUCUCAAACAUGUGACUAGAGAUCGCGAGCUUAAUUGUUCUCUCCUUUGCAUAUAAUACGCGUGCACGUUUGCUUAAUCAUUCGGCCGAGUCCAAGGAGCUUGGUUCUUUGCAUCAACGAUGAAUAGAGCCAAUUAAGAGCCACUGUCGGAAUUGUAAACAGGAUGUCCGAUACAUUCUAGGAGGUUCGUGAAUGGACGUAAAUUUUCGGUAAUCAAGAAAGUGUCGUACCGUAAGGUUCGAUUCAGGCUUUGCAAAUGAUUGCGGCCGACGUGUAAGUGCUUCACUAACGGUGGUAACGAGCCUGGCACCAUUUCUGAAAUUGCAUUUCCGGCCAGAAGAAGAUGUUGUAAUGUCGGAUUGUACUGAAAAUCAUAGUGCGUGAGAGCGAGCGAGCAAACGAACAAGAGAGAGAGAGAGAGGAGGAGAGAGAGAGAGAGAAGGAAGGAAAAAGAAAAUGAUUCUUAAAAAUUAUACAUAAUCUCAAACAUGUGACUAGAGAUCGCGAGCUUAAUUGUUCUCUCCUUUGCAUAUAAUACGCGUGCACGUUUGCUUAAUCAUUCGGCCGAGUCCAAGGAGCUUGGUUCUUUGCAUCAACGAUGAAUAGAGCCAAUUAAGAGCCACUGUCGGAAUUGUAAACAGGAUGUCCGAUACAUUCUAGGAGGUUCGUGAAUGGACGUAAAUUUUCGGUAAUCAAGAAAGUGUCGUACCGUAAGGUUCGAUUCAGGCUUUGCAAAUGAUUGCGGCCGACGUGUAAGUGCUUCACUAACGGUGGUAACGAGCCUGGCACCAUUUCUGAAAUUGCAUUUCCGGCCAGAAGAAGAUGUUGUAAUGUCGGAUUGUACUGAAAAUCAUAGGUAAAAAAAAAUGCAUUUUGAGAAUACAUAUAUUAGAAGGAU